rnacentral:rRNA from 1 species
GAUGAACGCUGGCGGCGGGCCUAAUACAUGCAAGUCGAGCGAACAGACGAGGAGCUUGCUCCUCUGACGUUAGCGGCGGACGGGUGAGUAACACGUGGAUAACCUACCUAUAAGACUGGGAUAACUUCGGGAAACCGGAGCUAAUACCGGAUAAUAUAUUGAACCGCAUGGUUCAAUAGUGAAAGACGGUUUUGCUGUCACUUAUAGAUGGAUCCGCGCCGCAUUAGCUAGUUGGUAAGGUAACGGCUUACCAAGGCGACGAUGCGUAGCCGACCUGAGAGGGUGAUCGGCCACACUGGAACUGAGACACGGUCCAGACUCCUACGGGAGGCAGCAGUAGGGAAUCUUCCGCAAUGGGCGAAAGCCUGACGGAGCAACGCCGCGUGAGUGAUGAAGGUCUUCGGAUCGUAAAACUCUGUUAUUAGGGAAGAACAAAUGUGUAAGUAACUAUGCACGUCUUGACGGUACCUAAUCAGAAAGCCACGGCUAACUACGUG